rnacentral:lncRNA from 11 species
UAAUUUCUCUUUUCAGAUCUCUCUCCAUGUCCUCUUCCUGAAACAGCUGUCUCCAUUGUGCGUUCGUACUGGCAGAUCUUCCUCCUCCUUCCCUGGUCAGGGUGCCCAUGAAUGAAGAAUUCUACUUGAAUGAGGCCCUCCCUCCUCCCAUCCCGGCUGAUACCAUCCAGAAAUGCGGAGACACCACAGACACAGAGAGGACUAUGUGGAAAGAAGUGCUGAGUUUGCCGAUGGUUUGCUCUCAAAAGAUUAAAACACCAAUACUAAUAGGAGUAAUAAUACAAUAGCAGUUAACAUGGAAUCAUAACGCGAUCAUUGCAAGCAAUUAUUAAAGGGUGCCUUUUCUCUAUGCUACAAUCUGUUUAUAAAAACAGAUUAUUUUCUCCAGUCAGAUUGAGGCAGUGAAAGCAUUUAAAUUUUAGUGGAAAACUUAAUAGAAACUGAGCUUCUGUAAUGGUGAAUCAGAACCGGAAAUUAUGUUAUUUAGUUUGAAGGAUAUGUAAUUAGUCAAUAAAAAUUGUAUUAAAG